rnacentral:rRNA from 1 species
UGAGUAACCUGCCCUUAACUCUGGGAUAAGCCUGGGAAACUGGGUCUAAUACCGGAUAUGACUCCUCAUCGCAUGGUGGGGGGUGGAAAGCUUUAUUGUGGUUUUGGAUGGACUCGCGGCCUAUCAGCUUGUUGGUGAGGUAACGGCUCACUAAGGCUUCGACGGGUAGCCGGCCUGAGAGGGCGACCGGCCACACUGGGACUGAGAUACGGCCCAGACUCCUACGGGAGGCAG